CCUAUAUCCCGGUUUAGUUGGAAGUAGGCGUGCGUUAGGCAAAUCCGGCGCACAUAUACCGAGGCCAACGAUCGAGCCAGCUUGCUGGUGAAGUGACUGAACGAGGUUCCAGGAAAAGCCACUAAGCUUCAGCUACACACGACCGUACCGCAAACCGACACUGGUGCGCGAGAUGAGUAUUCUAAGGCGCUUGAGAGAACUCAGGAGAAGGAACUCGGCAAAUUGACACCGUAACUUCGGAAGAAGGUGUGCCCUAUUAGUGUGAAGUGAACAACGGAGCAUGAAUGGGUUGCAAAAAAUCGGUGGCUGCGACUGUUUAUUAAAAACACAGCACUCUGCAAACACGAAAGUGGACGUAUAGGGUGUGACGCCUGCCCGGUGCUGGAAGAUUAAAUGAUGGGGUGCAAGCUCUUGAUUGAAGUCCCAGUAAACGGCGGCCGUAACAAUAACGGUCCUAAGGUAGCGAAAUUCCUUGUCGGGUAAGUUCCGACCUGCACGAAUGGCGUAACGAUGGCCACACUGUCUCCUCCUGAGACUCAGCGAAGUUGAAAUGUUUGUGAUGAUGCAAUCUCCCCGCGGAAAGACGGAAAGACCCCAUGAACCUUUACUGUAGCUUUGUAUUGGACUUUGAACAGAUCUGUGUAGCAUAGGUGGGAGGCUUUGAAGCAGGGUCGCUAGAUCUUGUGGAGCCAACGUUGAAAUACCACCCUGGUGUGUUUGAGGUUCUAACCUAGGUCCAUUAUCUGGAUCGGGGACAGUGCAUGGUAGGCAGUUUGACUGGGGCGGUCUCCUCCCAAAGCGUAACGGAGGAGUUCGAAGGUACGCUAGUUACGGUCGGACAUCGUGACGAUAGUGCAAUGGCAUAAGCGUGCUUAACUGCGAGACUGACAAGUCGAGCAGAUGCGAAAGCAGGACAUAGUGAUCCGGUGGUUCUGUAUGGAAGGGCCAUCGCUCAACGGAUAAAAGGUACUCUGGGGAUAACAGGCUGAUACCGCCCAAGAGUUCAUAUCGACGGCGGUGUUUGGCACCUCGAUGUCGGCUCAUCUCAUCCUGGGGCUGUAGCCGGUCCCAAGGGUAUGGCUGUUCGCCAUUUAAAGAGGUACGUGAGCUGGGUUUAAAACGUCGUGAGACAGUUUGGUCCCUAUCUUCCGUGGGCGCUGCAGAUUUGAGGAAGCCUGCUCCUAGUACGAGAGGACCGGAGUGGACACACCUCUGGUGUAUCGGUUGUCACGCCAGUGGCAUUGCCGAGUAGCUAAGUGUGGAAGAGAUAACCGCUGAAAGCAUCUAAGCGGGAAACUCGUUUCAAGAUGAGAUCUGCCGGGGCCUUGAGCCCCCUAAAGAGUCGUUCAAGACCAGGACGUUGAUAGGUCAGGUGUGGAAGCGCAGUAAUGCGUUAAGCUAACUGAUACUAAUUGCUCGUGCGGCUUGACCCU
rnacentral:rRNA from 1 species